GGGAAGCCGGUGUAAAUCCGGCGCUGACCCGCAGCCGUGUGCCGCCUCCGGGCGGUGAGCCGGAUCGCC
rnacentral:ncRNA from 1 species